rnacentral:lncRNA from 1 species
CUGUAGUCCGAUGGUCACUGUUCUGAACAGGGGGUGUGGAGAAUUAGAGUUGUUUCAGAGCUGCUGUGGGACUCUGGAGAGGUCAUUUCUCAAGGCCCAUCACGAUGCUUUCUGUGGCUGAUGUUCAUGGACGGCUGUUGCCUCCUGCAUAGGAUGGGUUUCUCUAUGAUGGGGAGUCUCUGUUCACUAAUUACAUGAUUGUGGUUAAAUAGAAUCGGUAGUAAGUCCUAACCUCUACAUUAUUUUGUCAAAAUGUCGA